CCCCCGUUCAUCCUCUCCAGCUGCCGCCGCCACCCUUGUCUUUCCUCCUCUCUCCCCGUGCAACAGCGCAUCUGGCCGUGGGGGCGGGCGAGGCUACAAGGCGACGGGCCGAGGCGGCAGCGUCUUCUCCUGCCCACGGAUGGAUGAGCCGCUCACAGGUCGAGUUGGGGCUGGCAAGACUGCAGGACAAUGGCCCGAGGUGGGGGUGUAGGGAUCCAGACGGAGAGGUACUCUCAGGUCGAGGUGGCAGCGCCGUCGGUGAUGCCAAACAGGGGGAGGGAAUUGGGCGAGUGAGACCAGCGGGGGAAGGAACAGGGCGUGGCCUCACGCGCUGGCUCGUCAUCUGCUUCACCAUUACUUUCAGCUGAAGAAGACAAAGACCAGCUGCUAAUGGACGCCGUCCGAGCUGGUGUUGUUUACCACAGACUCUGAGCCAAGUUUGCGAGAUUUACGGACUUGGUGCAGUAACACUGUAAAUAGGUAUAGAUUCAGACCUCACCAAAGACAGGUUCAUCCUAUUGCUUGCCUCGGUAUUCCAUAGAUUAUAUGCAUUGUAUGCCUUUUGCUUUCCUAGCUUGGUAAGUUGGUUAGCCUGAAUUUUAUAAGGUAAAAUGCUAAUUUUACAUGUUGUAAAUAGAUUAUGAUCUAAUAGUCAGCAAUCUCUCGGCACGUUUGCCUCUCACUAGUGUGUGUCAUUGAUGUUUUUCUUAAUCUAUGCAUGCGCUUGUAUCAUGCUUCUCAUAUAUUAGAAUAAAACAAAUUAUGUUGACAAGCUUCAUUACUCUGUACCGAUAAAACCUUGAUCGAAUUUAAGAAGGCAUGUGUUCAGGACCCUAUUCUUUUUCUUGCAUUUAACCGCUGCCAUCAUUUUGUUGAGCAGCCAGUUGUUUCUGCCUCCAUCUGUUUUCCAUCCCGGUCAGCUCGCCUCCUCACUCCAGUUUUGUGAAGAUUCAGCUGCAGUUCAGCUCGCUCGACGCCUCGGCUGCUCUCUUUCGUCGUGCCAAGCAGUCUUGCUCCUUCGGCGCUUCAACAACAGUUCACCGAUUAGUUUAUGAGCCGGCGGCAGCAACAGUGGUCCGCAGCACGGCAGCAGGUAGCACGAGCGGAGAAGGCAGCGAGAGGAGAAGCGGCAGCAGCCAGCAGCCAAAACCAGCAGACACCCGGCACCCGGCGUGGCGGCUUGGAGGGCCCUAGCUGUGGUGGGCAGCGAGAGUUGGCAAGGCCGGCGGCCAACAGUUGGCAACAGCGAGAAGCGAGUGAAACUGUGAAAGAUGUGGGUUGAUUUGCGGAAAGGAGGAGAACAGAUAAGGUCUGGUUGGGGGAAAGGAGGAGAGACGAGCGUGCGUGGGAGUUGGUCGGUGUAUUGGGCUUAAAUGUAUUUGGGCUGGGCCAAACGCCGGUGCUAUUUGGUGCUUCUUAGAAAACAUUUAUGAUCAGCAGUCAUCUAUCUAUCAUCAACCCGUAUUUAUUUCUA